rnacentral:rRNA from 1 species
AGUGGCGGACGGGUGAGUAACACGUAGGCAACCUGCCCAGAAGCGGGGGACAACAUUUGGAAACAAGUGCUAAUACCGCAUAACAACGAAAACCACAUGGUUUUCGUUUAAAAGAUGGUUUCGGCUAUCACUUCUGGAUGGGCCUGCGGCGCAUUAGCUUGUUGGUGAGGUAACGGCUCACCAAGGCUGUGAUGCGUAGCCGAGUUGAGAGACUGAUCGGCCACAAUGGAACUGAGACACGGUCCAUACUCCUACGGGAGGCAGCAGUAGGGAAUCUUCCACAAUGGGCGCAAGCCUGAUGGAGCAACACCGCGUGAGUGAAGAAGGGUUUCGGCUCGUAAAACUCUGUUGUUGAAAAAGAACGUGCGUGAGAGUAACUGUUCACGCAGUGACGGUAUUCAACCAGAAAGUCACGGCUAACUACGUGCCAGCAGCCGCGGUAAUACGUAGGUGGCAAGCGUUAUCCGGAUUUAUUGGGCGUAAAGCGAGCGCAGGCGGUUUUCUAAGUCUGAUGUGAAAGCCUUCGGCUUAACCGGAGAAGUGCAUCGGAAACUGGAUAACUUGAGUGCAAGAGAGGACGGUGGAACUCCAUGUGUAGCGGUGGAAUGCGUAGAUAUAUGGAAGAACACCAGUGGCGAAGGCGGCUGUCUAGCUUGCAACUGACGCUGAGGCUCGAAAGCAUGAGUAGCGAACAGGAUUAGAUACCCUGGUAGUCCAUGCCGUAAACGAUGAGUGCUAGGUGU